rnacentral:rRNA from 1 species
UACGUAGGUGGCAAGCGUUGUCCGGAGUUAUUGGGCGUAAAGCGCGCGCAGGCGGUGCGGUAAGUCUCUGGUGAAAGCGCUCGGCUUAACUGGGCGAGGGCCGGGGAGACUGCCACGCUGGAGGGGAGCAGAGGCGAGUGGAAUUCCGGGUGUAGUGGUGAAAUGCGUAGAGAUCCGGAGGAACACCGGUGGCGAAGGCGGCUCACUGGCUCAUUACUGACGCUCAGGCGCGAUAGCGUGGGGAUCAAACAGG